rnacentral:rRNA from 1 species
AGAGUUUGAUCCUGGCUCAGAUUGAACGCUGGCGGCAUGCCUUACACAUGCAAGUCGAACGGCAGCACGGGAGUAAUCCUGGUGGCGAGUGGCGAACGGGUGAGUAAUAUAUCGGAACGUGCCCAGUCGUGGGGGAUAACGCAGCGAAAGCUGUGCUAAUACCGCAUACGAUCUCUGGAUGAAAGCGGGGGACUCGCAAGGGCCUCGCGCGAUUGGAGCGGCCGAUAUCAGAUUAGCUAGUUGGCGGGGUAAAGGCCCACCAAGGCGACGAUCUGUAGCUGGUCUGAGAGGACGACCAGCCACACUGGAACUGAGACACGGUCCAGACUCCUACGGGAGGCAGCAGUGGGGAAUUUUGGACAAUGGGCGCAAGCCUGAUCCAGCAAUGCCGCGUGCAGGAUGAAGGCCUUCGGGUUGUAAACUGCUUUUGUACGGAACGAAACGGUUGUCUCUAAUAAAGACGGCUAAUGACGGUACCGUAAGAAUAAGCACCGGCUAACUACGUGCCAGCAGCCGCGGUAAUUCCAGCUCCAAUAGCGUAUAUUAAAAUUGUUGCAGUUAAAAAGCUCGUAGUUGGAUUUCUGGUACGGCGCACUUGGCCCGCCACGGUUACGUGGUUGUGUGCCGGUGUGCGCCUGCCAUCCAUCUGGAGAACGGCAUCGCCCUUUACUGGGUGGGUGUCGGUAUCCAGAUCUUUUACUUUGGAAAAAUUAGAGUGUUUAAAGCAGGCUUGUGCUGUGAAUACAUUAGCAUGGAAUAAUAAUUUAGGACUUUGGUCUUAUUUUGUUGGUUUCUAGGACUAAAGUAAUGAUUGAUAGGGACAGUUGGGGGUGCUAGUAUUCAGCGGCCAGAGGUGAAAUUCUUGGAUUCGCUGAAGACUAACUUAUGCGAAAGCAUUCACCAAGGAUGUCUUCUUUAAU